UCCGCACCGCUUACGCUUACCGCUUUCUCAAACAUUGAUGGUGGGGUGCGGCUGCGACGGAGAUGAAGGAGGUUCGCCGCCUGUCUUUGUCUCCUUGCUGCGUCCUUUGUUGUCGAUCAUCCCCUCUCCCUUCGCCCCUAGCAGCGCAAUAGUCGGGGACAAGGGGAAGGAGCAGGUUGACCCGACUCCAUCUCUCUGCACGAGGACUAGAGGAGCAGGUGGCGAGGGAAGCCGACACGGCCAGCGGCGGCCCUGCACAGGGACAUCCGCCUCCGGUUUUCCGUCCCGUCUCCCGAUCCCCUUCCGUUUAAGUGUGUUCUUUUUCCUCUUGGCCCGAUCUGCUCACAUGUUUGGGGUUUCGUGUUGUAGGGAUAAGAUCUGGUGCGGGAGGUGUGGUAUACUGCAUAGGUGUAUAAUCUUGGCUAUGAUCUAUGCUGGUGAUUUGGCUAUCGACUGCUAAAUCUACGAAUCAUCUGAAAAUGUUGAACUUGUUGUCCUGCUGUGUGGACAUGUUUUGAUUAUGCUUUUAAAUACUAUGCUUUGCUGAUUCAGUGCUAUUUAUGUGGUGUAGGAGGAUGUUGAUGUUAAAGCAUUUGGUUUUGAUGGAUCAUAUUAUUGGUUCUCUGUUCAACUGAAGAUGUCUUCAGAUAGGACUAAGGUGAGUUGAGUUGUGGCUUGGUUGGAUAUGUUGAUGCUGUUUGAGACGCCCGCUGGAUUCACCCUUUUCAAGGUUCUGAACAAGGGCAAGCUCGACAAGGUCGAGGGGUAUAUGGACCACAAAUGAUGUGAUAUACUUCGUUAUUUCAACAUGAGUACGGCUCAGCAGGAAGGUCAACCGUGGGGAGGCGCAACAUAGCGCGGCCUCAGCCAAUUAGAUCUGAGGAUGAAGAGAAGAAGAAUUUAUCUAAAAGGGUGAAGAAGAUCAAGGGGGUGAGAGGCGGAUAACAAUACAAGAAGGAGCAUGCCAUCAAGGAGUGCAAGCAGCGGCACUCCUCCGCAAUGGGGUAUGGCUGCAGGGGAGGGGACGCGGCCAACGACAUGAAGAAGGAGCAGGUCGUCGAGGACUACAAGUAGCAGGGGAUGAUCCUUUUGCUUAUUUAUUAUUCCCUCCGUUCCUAAAUAUAAGUCUUUUUAGAGAUUACACUAUGGAAUACAUACAGAGCAAAAUGAUUGAGUCCACACUCUAAAAAUGUCUAUAUACAUCUGUAUGUAGUUUGCAAUGGAAUCUCUAAAAAGACUUACAUUUAGGAAUAGAGGGAGUAUUUGCUAUGUUCUCUGAAGAUUAUUUUUGGCCCAUACAGUUUCCUUUGACUAGAAGUCUGAAAGUGAAGAUAGGGCAUAUUGUUUUGGUUCUGAGUGGCCGGAGAUAUUGUGGCUUGAUGUCCCUAGAGCAGUCAGACCCUUCCAAGAUAGAAGAUCUUUGGGAUUGACGUUCUGAUGAGAAAGUAGCAUACAGAUGGAUGGAUAUGAACUAUUCAGUGGUCGAACUGCGCUAUAUUUCGUUCAUUGAGGCGAGGGUGAUUCCAGUAGAUUUUGCUUGGCGUACUCGUCUUUUUUAUUGAAGUUGGGUGUCCGUCUUCUCUGCGGCAAGAUCUAUGCUAUCGCGGCAACACAGGCCAAUACACAUUCAGGAAAUAUGUCACCAACUUCCCCAAGGCCCCGCAUCGUCUACUCAGGAUAUUUUGUGCCCCAAGCCCUACAGAAUAAUGCCCAGUCUAAUUUCAGGAGUGGGCAUGACAGCCUCAAACUUCUCUCUUCAAUAUUGAAGAAGCGACUUACUCAGAUCAAUGGGCAUGCAUUUAGAAAAAUAGCUAAAGAGUACGAGAUAUUCCUAGAGUAAAUAAAGGGCAUGCUGUGCUCAUAAGUUAGACAGAAGCAAAAUGUUAUUUAUUAUGCUCCCGUUGUAUCCUCGGACAUUUUCUUCCACCUACCAAUACCCCAUUAUUGAAUAUCUACUUUCCCACCGUCGUACAGAAA